GUAGGUGAACCUGCGGAAGGAUCAGUA
rnacentral:ncRNA from 2 species